UCACUAACAAAACAAAACAGCUGCCGCGCAAUUGGAAAAUUGCGCAAAAACAAAAGGAAAUUCAAAACAAACUAUUGACGACGAUAAGUACAAAGAAAAAAAGAAUAAUAAACUACUCACUGAUCCAUUUUGUGUUUGAAUAGGGCCUCAACUGGACCCCGGCGUACCCACCCUGCCUGAGAUGGCCACAUCGGCGCCAUCUCCCUUUCGUUGGCCACCACCUCAGUGGCUGCUCCUCAUCCGGCGUAGCGCUGUCGAAUCCCCCUCCCCUCCAUGCUGAGAAGACUCACACAACCAUGUUCAACGUAUAAUAUUAAUAUAUAUUCGAAUUUCAUUACAGCUACACGGAACAGUAUUUGAAGCAAAGGCAAAUAAAACAAACAAGGCGGAACAACAAAGAGAAUAAAAACGGAGUAGGGACAAUUAUAUAUGUCUUCACUUCAAUUUAAUCUAAUUUAAAUAUUGCUCUAGCCUUCAAAAUUAAGUUUUUGUGGUUUAGUUUUCAGGCUGAAUUACGAAUUCUUUGGAGUGAGAAAUCUACGAUCGCCGAUGACGGUCGUCAUCAGUCGGGAGUUGACGAUGUCGCAUUAAAAUUGGACAGGGAACGGCUUGGCGCCGCCGCACUAACUCACUCGGACAGGCUCCUCCUCUUGCUCGUCGCUGGAUGCGUCGUUCAGCGUUCGCUGUCCCACGCCGUCGAUGGCGCUCCUGUCGUUAAAGCGUCGUGUGUCUCGCGGAUGGUUGCCCGCACUUAUCCAGCGGUGAUUGUGGCCGCUGGUGUCGCUUGACCAAGUUCCUUCUCGCUCCCUCGCAGAUGGUUUGCUCCAGGUGGAGUUGGGUCACGAUCGACUGUCGCCCUCACACGAUUAAGUAGCUGAAGAUGCGAUGCUCUGCUGCUGCGGGUUUUUCUCGGCUGCCGUCGCGGCCCGAUUCGGAGUUGCUGGCGCUAUCGUUGUUGUUGUUGCUGCUCGAAGAAAGCGACUCGCGCCUUUGUUGAACCGGACUUGAGCUUCUUGAGCGUGGAGUAUUUGUUCUCGCCGGCCUUAAUCUGAGCCUCACUGAGUAUGUCCAGGCUGCUCUGGUUCUCCUCGAUCUUGUGCGGCGCUAUCUCUUUACUUAUUUUAAUACUUUCACGCACGUUGUUGCCGUUAAUGGUUGUUUGUAAUUGCUCACACUGUUGUUAGUUUACGAUCUUGUAACGGAAUUUCUUUUUAUAUACUAAACAAAUCUUAAAUUUUUGCGUA